UACGAAGGGGGCUAGCGUUGUUCGGAAUUACUGGGCGUAAAGCGCGUGUAGGCGGGUCUUUUAAGUCAGGGGUGAAAUGCCCAGGGCUCAACCUUGGAACUGCCUUUGAUACUGGAGACCUUGAGUCCGGGAGAGGUGAGUGGAACUGCGAGUGUAGAGGUGAAAUUCGUAGAUAUCGCAAGAACACCAGUGGCGAAGGCGGCUCACUGGCCCGAUACUGGACGCUGACGG
rnacentral:rRNA from 1 species